rnacentral:rRNA from 1 species
CAACCUGCCUCCCAGCGGGGGAUACCAGCGGGAAACCGCUGCUAAUACCGCAUGCGAUCCGAGGGGGAUGCCCCUUUGGAUGAAAGGAGCUUGCUUCACUGGGAGAUGGGUCUGCGGCCUAUCAGCUCGUUGGCGGGGUAACGGCCCACCAAGGCGACGACGGGUAGCUGGUCUGAGAGGAUGAUCAGCCGGACGGGGACUGAGACACGGCCCCGACUCCUUCGGGAGGCAGCAAUGAGGAAUCUUGCGCAAUGGGGGCAACCCUGACGCAGCGACGCCGCGUGGGUGAGGAAGUCCUUCGGGAUGUAAAGCCCUUUUCUGGGGGACGAGAACGGACGGUACCCCAGGAAGAAGCCCCGGCUAACUACGUGCCAGCAGCCGCGGUAAUACGUAGGGGGCAAGCGUUGUCCGGAUUUACUGGGCGUAAAGAGCGCGUAGGCGGAAUGGUAAGCGGGGCCGGAAAGCCCCCGGCUCAACCGGGGAAGGGGCCGCGAACUGCCAUUCUUGAGGGGGAGAGGGGAGAGUGGAAUUCCUGGUGUAGCGGUGAAAUGCGUAGAGAUCAGGAGGAACACCCAUGGCGAAGGCAACUCUCUGGCUUCACCCUGACGCUGAGGCGCGAAAGCGUGGGGAGCGAACGGGAUUAGAUACCCCGGUAGUCCACGCCGUAAACGAUGGUCACUAGGCGUUGGUGGUAUCGACCCCACCAGUGCCGCAGCUAACGCAGUAAGUGACCCGCCUGGGGAGUACGGCCGCAAGGUUGAAACUCAAAGGAAUUGACGGGGGCCCGCACAAGCGGUGGAGCAUGUGGAUUAAUACGUCACUAACCGUAGAGCCUUACCCAGGCUUGACGUCUCGGGAACCCUCCCGAAAAGGAGGGGUGCCUCGCAAGAGGAGCCCGAAGACA